GAGUUUGAUCUUGGCUCAGGAUGAACGCUGGCGGCGUGCUUAACACAUGCAAGUCGAACGGACAUAGAGGGGCUUGCUCCUCUAUGUUAGUGGCGGACGGGUGAGUAACACGUGAGCAAUCUGCCCAUAUCAGGGGAAUAACACAGUGAAAAUUGUGCUAAUACCGCAUAAGACCACGGCGAGGCAUCUCGCUGCGGUAAAAGAUUUAUCGGAUAUGGAUGGGCUCGCGUCCCAUUAGAUAGUUGGCGGGUAAUGGCCCACCAAGUCGACGAUGGGUAGUCGACCUCAGAGGGUGAUCGGCCACAUUGGAACUGAGAAACGGU
rnacentral:rRNA from 1 species